GAGAAAAACAAGUGCCCACCCCCAUCCCCUAGCUCUUCAGCUUUCUGUGCAAUUGAUUUGUGCUAAUCCUGGAACGAAUUUGCAGAUUGGAAGCCUUGUCCUCCAGAGUCCAGGAUUCCACUUCCAGCCCUGUCACCAUCUGGCCAGACUGUAUGGAAAUGGAGGGGAGGGGGAUAACAGCAGGCAGCAGGCCCUUUGCAGGAGUAAUAGUGGUGGGCUUUAACUUGCAGAGGGCCAGGGCAUCCCUGCCAUGUGCACCAGCAUACAGGCUGCUUCCAACACCCUACAUUUGUUUUUGUCUUCAAAAACAAAGGCUGGUGAAGAUAUACCAUGGUUCCUGGGAUAAAUGUGCACUUUAGUUUAAUCCAACAAUUUGAGUGCCUGCAACAUGCCAGGUUUUAAACAAGAUGUAGAGAUACAAAAAUGAAUUCAGACAUUAUUUUGUUGUCAAUAAACUUUCUCUUUUUGUCCUCCUCCUCUUCUUCCUCUUUCAUCAUCAUAGUAGUCUUUGUCCUUCUUGCAUCUAUUGAAAUUUUACCCUAAAGGAGUCACUGUGUUCAUUUCUUAUCUCAUGUCUCAUCUUCUAACAACUGCGUGAUUAGGUGCCAUUAUUCCCCUUUGCAGAUGAAGAAAUCAAGACUUAAGUUAAAUACCUUGCAGAGAAGCUGAGUUCAAGGUGAGGUCUGUAUGACUGCAGUUUCCACCCUGAGAACCAUAAAUGAAUAUUACUUUUCAUGUCAUUCUGUUGUUCUCAACACUUGGAACAACUUUCCAGAACCUGCUGCAUAGGGUGAAAUUCUUAGGGUGCUUCAUAAUGGAGCCUCAGUUACCUUUCUGAGCUCCAGCUCCACUUCUGUUCUCUGUGAGUUAACGUAGUAGGUGGAACCUACUGUACUCAAUUUUAUCCUUCAGUGUCCUCACCCACUCUCCAGGCCCCUGUGCACAUGGCUUCCUUCGUCAGCAGUGCCAGCAAUGCCUUUUUAUUCCUUUCUCUACCUGUCAAAACCCUUCCUACUCUUCAAGGUGGCUCCAGAAGUGGUCUUUUCAAGGU
ensembl:lncRNA